AAUCCAUAGGUUAAUGAGGCGAACCGGGGGAACUGAAACAUCUAAGUACCCCGAGGAAAAGAAAUCAACCGAGAUUCCCCCAGUAGCGGCGAGCGAACGGGGAGGAGCCCAGAGCCUGAAUCAGCAUGUGUGUUAGUGGAAGCGUCUGGAAAGGCGCGCGAUACAGGGUGACAGCCCCGUACACAAAAGCGCAUGUGCUGUGAGCUCGAUGAGUAGGGCGGGACACGUGGUAUCCUGUCUGAAUAUGGGGGGACCAUCCUCCAAGGCUAAAUACUCCUGACUGACCGAUAGUGAACCAGUACCGUGAGGGAAAGGCGAAAAGAACCCCGGCGAGGGGAGUGAAAAAGAACCUGAAACCGUGUACGUACAAGCAGUGGGAGCACAGGUUUACCUGUGUGACUGCGUACCUUUUGUAUAAUGGGUCAGCGACUUAUAUUCUGUAGCAAGGUUAACCGUAUAGGGGAGCCGUAGGGAAACCGAGUCUUAACCGGGCGUUAAGUUGCAGGGUAUAGACCCGAAACCCGGUGAUCUAGCCAUGGGCAGGUUGAAGGUUGGGUAACACUAACUGGAGGACCGAACCGACUAAUGUUGAAAAAUUAGCGGAUGACCUGUGGCUGGGGGUGAAAGGCCAAUCAAACCGGGAGAUAGCUGGUUCUCCCCGAAAGCUAUUUAGGUAGCGCCUCGUGAA
rnacentral:rRNA from 2 species